CUGUUCGAGCGUCAUCAAAAACCCUCAAGCCUAGCUUGGUGUUGGGGCCUGCCGUCUGGCAGCCCUUAAAAUCAGUGGCGGUGCCGGUCGGCUCUGAGCGUAGUAAUUCUUCUCGCUAUAGACGUCGGGCGGCCCUUGCCAACAACCCCCAACUUUCUAAGUUUGACCUCGGAUCAGGUAGGGAUACCCGCUGAACUUAA
rnacentral:misc_RNA from 1 species